GCAAGUCGAACGGUAACAUUUCUAGCUUGCUAGAAGAUGGCGACCGGCGCACGGGUGAGUAACGCGUAUGCAACCUACCUUACAUUGGGGGAUAGCCCAGAGAAAUCUGGAUUAAUACCGCAUAAUAUAUUUGAAUCGCAUGGUUUAAAUAUUAAAACUCCGGUGAUGUAAGAUGGGCAUGCGUAGCAUUAGUUAGUUGGUGAGGUAACGGCUCACCAAGACGAUAAUGCUUAGGGGGUCUGAGAGGAUAGUC
rnacentral:rRNA from 1 species